GGGCGUGGUGAUGUAAUGAGCUUUGAGCAGGGCGUUUUGCCGGUCCAGGAAAAGACGCCCUAAUUUUGGCGCACCUAGAGGUCUCCUAGCUACCAUCUUGUCAGCAGGCGACCUUUACCCAGACUCUGUCCUACUACCACGGCUGGCGCCAACAGCAUCCUAGAGGGACAGCCUGGAACCAGGAGUUACACGAGUUGGGCACCAGCUCGUGACCUUGUUCUAGUUCCACCUAUACUCUGUUACUUUCAGUCACAUUCCAGCUCUCCGCUUGAUGGACGCCCCAAGACUGAGGAAGGUGCUGCAUUUGCGGCAGAGACAGGAUUAUCCCUCUGGAACUGAAAAAUAAAAUUAAGAGGAUGCAAUGAUAACAUUUAUGUACCUUUUAAAAUUUUUAUGAGUACGAAGUAGGUAAAUAUAUAUAUAUACUUAAGAGGUACAUGAGAUAUUUUGAUACAGGCAUACAAUGUAUAAUAAUCACAUCAGGGUAAACGGUCUAUCCAUCACCUCAAGCAUUUAUCCUUUUUUUCUGUUACAAGCAAUCCAAUUAUACUUUUAGUUUGUUUAAUGUACAAUAAAUUAUUGUUGA
rnacentral:lncRNA from 1 species